rnacentral:RNase_P_RNA from 1 species
CAAGCAGGGAGGGCAAUCGCCCGUCGCUGUAAUGGCGAAUAGGGAGGAAAGUCCGAACACUCAUUUUCCGAUUUUAUCGGAAUCUAAAAAGAUAGCGGCUAACAGCCGUCGUUCCCGCUUUUAGCGGGAUAGAGGUGCGAACAGAGACGUUCUGAAGCGAAAGCUGAAGAACGCCCUGUCAAAUGACGGGGCGAGUCCUAAGAGUAAUCUUAGGGGUGAAACGGUUAAAUCCUUAUUGGGCGCAAGAACAAAACAAGAGUUCUGCUUUUAUGUGGAACUUUUGAGAAAAGUAGUUCGCUUGAGCCAGGAAGUAAUUUCUGGCCUAGACAGAUGAUUGCCUAAAACAGAAUUCGGCUUACCACCCUGCUUGAGUU